UAGCGUGUCUGCAGACUCACCCACUGAAAGAGAGACGGGGCGCUGCGGCCGGCCAAAUCCAUGAUGUUAAAAACAAGAAUGCAGCAGACACAGAGUCUCACCCCAGUCAGCGUUCUUCGUGUAAACCGUCUUCACUCGGACUGUGAUGACCGGAAACACCGACAGCGUGACGGCGAACACCAACGUCACACACAGAGCCAUCGGCCAGAUCUGUCAGACAACAACAACAGACUAGAAAACAACUGUGAGGAUUAAUUUACCUUCUUAAAGACGGCAAAGACAGAAGAGCGUUCGUCACUCUCCUCUGGGACUCCUCUCGCCUCCAG